rnacentral:lncRNA from 1 species
CCAAGGAAAGGAUAAACGGUUAUACUAGUACAUUUCAUAUAAACAGGUAUAAAAAGCACAAUAUAAAUAUAUAACUAUCAAUAACUAUUAGGAAUGACCAGUAAAUUAAUCUUACUAAGUUGGCGGAAGAAGUCCGGAAGUGCGGCCCUUGCUGCCGAUCCACCGACGGUCCACCAUGACGUCACCGACGAUCCACCAUGACGUCACCGACGAUCCACCAUGAAGUCACUUAACGAUCCACGACGAGAUGGCUACUGCCUUAGGAGGCAGGUUUCUUUUAGGGCUUGUCUCUCUAUCGCUCCACCUUCAACGUUCCAGUUCAGUUGUCACAGAAACGGUACACAAGGAUAACCGCUACUCCCCACUUCCGGUAAGUUGGCGGAAGAAGUCCGGAAGUGCGGCCCUUGCUGCCGAUCCACCGACGGUCCACCACGACGUCACCGACGAUCCACAUGACGUCACCGACGAUCCACCAUGAAGCAUCACUUUAACGAUCCCGGACAGAGAGGCUUACUGCCUUAGGGCAGGUUUCUUUUAGGGCUUGUCUCUCUAUCGCUCCACCUUCAACGUUCCAGUUCAGUUGUCACAGAAACGGUACACAAGGAUAACCGCUACUCCCCCACUUCCGGGUAAGUGCUAAGCGCGUGACACCCCGGGCCUUCGUUCCUUAUUGGUGCGAGGAUCAGUGCUUGGAACGCUGAAUCUCACUUCUUUACUUCUUGUUUGUUUUUCUUUUUUUUUUUUAGUUGGAAGAGGGUUUCGCUCUUGUUACC